GGAUCAUAUCUUAAUGAUAGAGCACUUGCUUUGCUUGCAGAAGGUCCCAGGUUUAAUCCCUGGCAUCUUCA